GAUUGAAGCAAUUGUGACUGAGCGGCGGACGGGUGAGUAACGCGUGGGUAACCUGCCUCAUACAGGGGGAUAACAGUUGGAAGCGGCUGCUAAUACCGCAUAAGCGCACAGUACCGCAUGGUACCGUGUGAAAAACUCCGGUGGUAUGAGAUGGACCCGCGUCUGAUUAGCUAGUUGGUGGGGUAACGGCCUACCAAGGCGACGAUCAGUAGCCGACCUGAGAGGGUGACCGGCCACAUUGGGACUGAGACACGGCCCAAACUCCUACGGGAGGCAGCAGUGGGGAAUAUUGCACAAUGGGGGAAACCCUGAUGCAGCGACGCCGCGUGAGCGAUGAAGUAUUUCGGUAUGUAAAGCUCUAUCAGCAGGGAAGAAAAUGACGGUACCUGACUAAGAAGCCCCGGCUAACUACGUGCCAGCAGCCGCGGUAAUACGUAGGGGGCAAGCGUUAUCCGGAUUUACUGGGUGUAAAGGGAGCGUAGACGGCAUGGCAAGCCAGAUGUGAAAGCCCGGGGCUCAACCCCGGGACUGCAGUUGAAACUGGCAGUCUUGAGUACAGUAGAGGUGGGCGGAAUUCGUGGUGUAGCGGUGAAAUGCUUAGAUAUCACGAAGAACUCC
rnacentral:rRNA from 1 species